ensembl:lncRNA
CAAUCAGGCAGGGAGAGACUGCACACCUUGGGAUGCCUGGAAAUCUCUGCUCUGAGGAUAAAGUGGUCCUUUCCAUGGCCGUCGGCACCAUCUGCUGAAAACACACGUGUCGUCGAGGUUUAAACCACUUCUUUGUACAUCAUAAGGAUGUCAAAAUGGUCCUUGUCUUCAAGGAGGCUUGAGAGAAAAGAAGACAAGACAUAGAAGAAGCUGAAACUAUAUACAAGUCUGAAAUCGCUAUUUUAAAGGAGCUUAGAAAGUAACACAGCACAGACACAAAAAGACCAUCAAAGGGAGGAUUUUCAGCUGAUGAAGAC